rnacentral:lncRNA from 1 species
AUUCCUCUGCAUGCAUAAAGAUCCCGUAUAACCAAAUGCAAGCUCUUUGAAAAGAACGUUGUUUACUUCUUGGAGUAGAGCAGCCUGCAGGAUUGGAAAGCCCGUAAUGUCGUGUUGGAGGAACUUGGCACGUUUCUGGUGAUAGGGAGACAGGGAUCUCAGGGAGUACAAUUCUGGAGCUGUAAGAUGGUUGUGAAUGGCAAAUGGGUCCUGUGCAGGGCAAGGAAGGAAUGCAUCUAUUCACUGCUCUUGUCCCUCCUACGCAGCCUCUCUGAGGGCUCGGCGUUCCCUGUGGUGUCCUAGGGAAUGGCAAGCAUUAACAAACAGCACCCAUUUAUUUGUACUGCUGAGCAUUUGCAUCUUCAAGGACUUACAGGUGUGUCCAGCGCUCCAAACCCAUCCUGUAAUUUCAGAUGUAGUUUUGAGAAGCUGGAGACACACCCUGGUUUGCUCAGUCAAAAGCAGCCCUCUACAGCUGGAGACCUGCGCACUGAGGACGCAGCAACCAGCAGCUGGAAGGUGAUUCCUUGUGUGCAUGGGCACCCUAAAGACCUCUGCAGAAAUGUUACCUUUGCUCCCGCGGCUUGGCUUCCUCCUUUUUGGUUGGUUGGCUGGCAGCUGAUCCAGCUUCUGCUGAGAGAUACCUGUGCUCCAGCUCCCCUGUCAAUGAAACUGCCGUGUGUGCUUCAGUGA